rnacentral:rRNA from 1 species
UUCCAGUCCAAUAGCGUAUAUUAAAGUUGUUGCAGUUAAAAAGCUCGUAGUUGAAUUUCGGGGUUAGUAGGUUGGUCAUGCCUCUGGUAUGUACUGAUCUCACUGAUUCCUCCUUCCUUAUGAACCGUAAUGCCAUUAAUUUGGUGUUGCGGGGAAUUUGGACUGUUACUUUGAAAAAAUUAGAGUGUUUAAAGCAAGCUAACGCUUGAAUACAUUAGCAUGGAAUAAUGAAAUAGGACGUUCGAUCUUAUUUCGUUGGUUUCUAGGAUUGACGUAAUGAUUAAUAGGGAUAGUUGGGGGCAUUAGUAUUCAAUUGUCAGAGGUGAAAUUCUUGGAUUUAUUGAAGACUAACUACUGCGAAAGCAUUUGCCAAGGAUGUUUUCAUUAAUCAAGAACGAAAGUUAGGGGAUCGAAGACGAUCAGAUACCGUCGUAGUCUUAACCAUAAACUAUGCCGACUAGGGAUCGG